rnacentral:rRNA from 1 species
CGGGGGCUCACACAAGCGGUGGAGUAUGUGGAUCAAUUCGAAGCAACGCGAAGAACCUUACCUGGGUUUGACAUGCACGGAUGCUCUUCCUGAAAGGGGAGUAGGCUGCCUUCGGGUGAAACGUGCACAGGUGCCGCAUGGCUGUCGUCAGCUCGUGCUGUGAAGUGUCGGGUUAAGUCCCAUAACGAGCGAAACCCCUGUCGCUAGUUGCCAGCGGGUCAUGCCGGGUACUCUAGCGAGACUGCCGGUGUCAAACCGGAGGAAGGUGGGGAUGACGUCAAGUCAUCAUGGCCUUUAUGUCCAGGGUGUCACACGUGCUACAAUGGGGCGGUACAGAGCGA